GCAGGGCGGCUGUGGGAGGUCCGGGAGAGCCGGGGGUGGGUAUAGGGCCGGGCUGUCCUCUGCCUUGUGAGGUUCUGGCUCCAUCUACAGGGAAAUGCCUCCAAGAUGCGGAUGGAGCCCUUGGGCUGACGCAUGCCCCAAACAGACCUGUUUUGGGUCCCAGCGGAGGACUGUGGUUACUGCAAACAUGAUGUUCUGGGCUCUAGGGCUGAAGCCUGAAGGAUCUCCUGGGGGAUACAGCCCGUGGCAGGUGGUCAAAGUCUCAUCAAGGCAGCCUAAUUCACAUGCUCAGGUGUGAUAAAGCAGCACGAAGCACCUCUGUUCUCCCUAGUUAGAAGAGGUUCAACCAUAUCCUCAUUCCUCCACCUGCAAGCAAUUGUAGGUGGGCAUGAAGUGGUAACAAGUCCAGCCUGAUCCACUUAGCUUAAUAAAAGCAGUAUUUAGUGAAGGUCCUAGCUCAGAAUAAGGAGUUCUUUUAAUGCUUCUGCUGUGCUCUUAUUUCCUAUCUCAUUCAUGCUCUAUCUCCUGUCUGUAUUGAGCUGUAGUGCUGAUGGCCUCCAGUUGGAUCUACCAGUGUGUCUUUGUGGUGGGAUAAUCAAGAGGGACCCAACUUUUCCUCAUUGCAGCCCCCUAUUCUUAGGGAGAUGUGCAUCCUUCUGGCUCUCAACCUGCCUUUGCACUGUUCCAUUACUCUGAUGGCAGCUGGAUCCAGCAGAAAAUUCUCAGCUGAUGGCAGACUGUGUUCCAGCACUACCCACUCUUUAUUUCCUCCUUCAUUCUGUAAGAAAGAAAAACAGAAGGAGAGGAAUGCAAUAUUUGCAAGCUCAUUGUUUCCAGCCUCCAUCAACUGGAUAAAACAAGCCACCAGCGAGCAGCUUCUCGUGACUCUGCACAGAGCCCUUGCCAGAAGAAUGGGGCUGUAAUGAAAGCCGUAUGCAGGAAGAAGCAGGAAUUCAGCAGUGCCCUCGGCAGAGCUCUGCUGGGAUGUGCUGCAGCUACUUGGGAGAGCCACGGAGAGGGGCAAUUUGUGGCUGAAUGUCCUGCCAAUGCUGAGGCAAUCUGGAAUGGCUUUGGCAUGUGUGGGCUCCUUCUCUGGGCUGAGAUUUUUCAAGUGCAGUGGGAUGGCAGGGGCAAAAACAAGAAGGAUAAGGUCUGGUGGGGUGGGAACAAAUGGUUGCAGUGACUCAGGGUAUGGUCUUUGUAGUUUUUUUCUCUAUGAGGCAUCUUGGAUUGAUCUACUGGUACUGCCUUUGGACUUAGUCUGGUCCCUCUAGGAUUUUGCUGAGGGAUUUUGAUGACCCGUGGAUGACUCCAUGAAUUGGAAGCCGUUCUGUGCAUACAAAAUGCCACACAUUUGCCUGUCUCUGGCUUGUCAUGAGUGUUCAAGCCAUGAUCACCUCACUGGAAAUCUCUCCUUCAACUGAUACUACAGUCAGAUUAAUUCCUUCCAGCAUCUCUUUGUGCUCCUCAUUUCCCCAUGGAUCCCUUCUACUCGCUUGAGGGAGGUCUGUGCCCACAGUGCUAUCUUCUAAAGACCUUUACAAGCAUACCCACAGCUCUUAUUUGUAGCGCUUUGGGAACCUUGCUCCUCAGUGAUAGUGCUCAGGGCCUUCCCUUGCGAGGAGCGGGGAGAGGCUGUUGGUGGGGGUAGAGAUCCCCAGGGAGCACCGGAAAGAUUUGUAGGACGUGUCUGGGAUGCCUGGGAUGUGUGGAGCAGCCAAGAUGACAUUUUGGCACUGUGCCUCUCGCUAAGAUGUAAGAAGAAGAAGAUCCUUGUGCCAAGGUCCUAUUUUGAAGCAGCCCCCUUGAGCCCUUUGAUACAGAUAGUGCUGGGCAUAGGGUUUCACACAUCUUUAUAGCUCACAUUCCCUUGGGAGAGAAAUCUCAGCCUUGCUUAGGCAGGCUGCUAUCUGCCUUGGCUGCUGGGCUGCAGGCAAUGGCUGUCCUUCAUCACUAAGUGCACCGGCCUCAGCUAUCCUUAUCCUAUGUGUUUCCACAAGGAGAUAGUGCCAGAUGAUCCUUGUGGUCUUUUCUAAUCUAUCAUUCGUGCAAUGACUGUGAGCUUCCACAGGGCCCUGGUGCAUGUUCCUCUUUACUGCUGGAGUAUGUGGAGCCUUUCCAAAAUCACCAUGUAGAGCAUGGAGCAUGAACAAAGGAUGCUCACCUCCAGCUCUCCAAGCUCAGCAACCUGCUGCUGUCCCAUCUUUCUUCUCUCCUUCAUUUGGACUAAGUGCUAUCUCAGAGCCAUUGGUCUUUGUGGACCAGGAGCUGCAGAUGCUGAAGGAUUUGGUAAUGCAAAAUCCUAAGGCAACGCCAGAGAUCUGAGCUCUUGGAGCAGCUUCCAUCCUGUAAUACUGUCCUACCCACUUCCUCCUUAUUUAUUUUAAUCAUCUCUGGAUGAUCAGCAUCAGUUCCUUUUGUCUCCCCAUCACAUUUCAUAGAAUCGUUAAGGUUGGAAAAGACUCAUUCGGUCCAACUAUCAGUCCAUCACUACCAUGCCCACUAACCGUGUCCCUCAGUGCCACAGACUUCUCCAGCUGUGUGGGACCUUUUAUUACUCAGGGAAGAAAACUCUGCAUGUAUGAGAUGCUCAGCUACGGACCUAGGCCACCUCCCAGCCUGGAUGUUCCUUGCACUAUGAGCUCAUACCACUAGAGGUCGGCCGGUCCCUACCGAUGGGACCACUGGAAGGAGGAGGUGGGAGCAGCAGGCCAAAAGGACUUGGCUGAUGGAGCCUUGUGUGUGUGGAUGUGACAGAUACUUCCUCUCCUAUUGACAUUUCUCCCGGCCUCAGGCCAGCUUUCCAGGCUUGGUGCUGCUCCCCAUAUAGAUCGGUGUAUUUGACACGCAAGAAGAAAGGCAGGUUUUUAAGGGCAAGGGAGCGCUGGGACAGCUGGAGUGCCAGCUUUUCCUGGAAAAUAAUGAGGGGGAGGGGGGAAGAAAAAAGAUUCAUGCAGUCAGCCAGUGCACAUAGAGCUCUGGCAGCUCUGUCAUUGGAAAGGUGAAGAGUUAUCCUCAGCCUCAUAGAGAGGGGCUCAGUGAUGGUUGCAUUCUGCCUGCUGCUCGGUGAUCUGUAGGAACUGGUGACUUGUCCCUUGUACUGACUGUGAAACCUGUAAGGGCUGAGCCCCACCUGUCCUCAGUGCAAUUAGCUCUAGAGGGGUGGCCAGAGAGGUUAAUGAAGAUCCAGCUCCUGCUUUGCUUGUUUCUGUCCAUCUACAGAGAAAGGGAUGAGGUUGGGUUAGCGUAGCUUGCAGCUGUGCUGAGUGCUCUGUACUGGUGGUGAGGGCAUGGGAGAUGGCACACUGUAAUUAAACAGCAAGUAUUAGCCCAGCAAAAUUGUGAACAGAAGGUGGCAAGUUGGUUGUGAGCACUGUAGUAAUGGAAUAUGAAGACCUUUGGUACACCAGAUGCUGUCCUCAAAAUCACACAGCCCUCCUGUCUGGUGGUCCUGUGCUCUUCUUAUAGGUGCUGUAUUCCCAUGCCAGGUCAGAUAGGCCCAGUGUUUUAUAAGACUCUAAGAUUAAAUUGUGUUGAGGAUACAGCACAGAUGACAUCUUGGUCCAGGUCCCAGCCACUUUCCACCAUGGCUGGAGAUGGGCUACAAGCCACACCAUAGGCACCCCAGACACCACACCAAUCUUUCUCAGUGGUUUUUGAAGUUCAAGGAACCUUUCUCCCUCCUGGAACAUGACCCCCAAAUGCCUGCCUACAGCUGGAUUCAGCCGAGAUAAGUCUUUUAUUUCUUUACAGGAUGCUUGUGUGCUUGCACGUCUGAGCUUCUAUUACUAUCUUUGGUUUCUCAGCUGCUGAGCAGAACGCUGCACGCUUGCAGUGUCCACAAACUAUGCUUCAAUGGAGAGUCCAUAGAAUGAUUUUCACCUGAUUCUCUGGUCUUGGAGUUAUUGGAAAGGUGGUGUAGUUUCUUCAUUUACCUGCCCAAGCUUUAGGUCACUGUGGGAGUGAAUCGCUCAGAGGAUGUGUCUCAGUCCCCUGGGCAGCAGCCAGCCCUGAUUCCAUCCAGAUGCUCUCCAAAUGGCUUUCAGCUGUCUCUCCUUGAGGGGAACAGCUUGGUACCUAACACCCAGCUCAGUGCGUGGCUCAGACAGGCUGCUCCCCGCCAGUGCUUCCAAGAACUCUGCGAUCCAGCGGCUUCCUCCAGUCGCCAGGCGUUGGGCCCUGCCAAAUCUUCUCCGAGGAGACGGUGAUGACAGAGUUUGCUUUACGGAAGGGGAGAAGCAAGGCUACCUCCAAGCAGAGACCCAGCCAGCUGUGGAGAAGUGGGUGAAUAUAGCUACAAAGCUCUGGAAAAAUCAGAGCUCUGAGCUGGUUGCGGCCAUUCCAGCCAUGGAGGGAACUCACUGGAUCGAAGUCAGCCUUCUGCUGCUCCGAACUUCAAAAAGGGCUGAGCUGUAGCUGGUUUGAACUCAAUAUCUCAGUUCUUCCAUUUGUUACCUAGAGGAGGCCAAUUUUUGUAAUUUUUGGAAACUCAUUUCAUGUAAUCAUAACCCUACGGUACAAGAAGAAAAGACUUUAUAUAAAUACCGACGUGCUUUGUGACACAAAAACCAGAUACAGUAUAUGGAAAAUAUAACCUCCUUCUCUCUGGAAAUGGCUUGGGAUUAUCUACUUCUUGUUCUUGUAACUCGUUCUCUACAUGUGUCUGCUUCAAGGUUGAUUUACUGCAAAUAUCUCUGUGUUCCUUUUGCUGUAUUGAUUCAUAAGAAAUCCUUUCACAAUGAAAUCACAUUUUCCACGAACAACAACAACAAAAAAAAGUCAGAUAGUAGAUGAAGAAUAUUAUUGUAACAGGAAAAUGGUUAGGACAAAGAAAGCUUAUAAUUUUGUAAA